GAAUAUUGCGCAAUGGGGGAAACCCUGACGCAGCAACGCCGCGUGAGUGAGGAAGGUCUUCGGAUUGUAAAACUCUUUUAUUAGGGAAAAAUUGCUCAGUGGUUAAUACCCAUUGAGUUUGAUGGUACCUAAGGAAUAAGCACCGGCUAACUUCGUGCCAGCAGCCGCGGUAAUACGAAGGGUGCAAGCGUUGUUCGGAAUCAUUGGGCGUAAAGCGAGCGCAGGCGGAUUGAUAAGUCAGGUGUGAAAUCUCGAGGCUCAACCUCGAAACUGCGCCUGAAACUAUUAGUCUAGAAUGUCGGAGGGGAUAGGGGAAUUUCACGUGUAGGGGUAAAAUCCGUAGAGAUGUGAAGGAACACCGGAGGCGAAGGCGCCUAUCUGGACGACUAUUGACGCUGAGGCUCGAAAGCGUGGGGAGCAAACAG
rnacentral:rRNA from 1 species